AGUGAACGCUGGCGGCGUGCCUAAUACAUGCAAGUCGAACGAAGUGGCGCACGGGUGAGUAAUAUAUAGAUAAUCUGCUCUACACAGAGGAACAACAGUUGGAAACGACUGCUAAUACCUCAUAGUGUAGGAUGAGACUAUAUCGUAUCAGCUAGUUGGUAAGGUAAUGGCUUACCAAGGCUAUGACGCGUAACUGGUCUGAGAGGAUGAUGAGUCACAUUGGACCUGAGGCACCGUUCAAAAACCUUCGGGAGUGAGCAGAAAGGAGUAUUACGCAAUGGGGGAGACCCAGACGGAGCUACGCGUCGUAGAGGAUGACACUUUGCGAAGAAUAAACUCCUUUUAUCAGGAAAGCGGUACCUGAUGAAUAAGCACCGGCUAACUCCGUGCCAGCCGCCGCGGUAAUUC
rnacentral:rRNA from 1 species